rnacentral:lncRNA from 1 species
CAGCACUUCACAGUGCAUGUGUAAAUCAAAGAAUUGCAAUGUAGCACUCGAAUGUGGAGUUUAUUUGCUGUGGGGGAGCAGUGUGUGCACACAGGUACUCUCCUUAUGGAGUCAGGAUGGACGAAUGGGAGAAGGAGAUGGGAAGAAAUCAGCAUUCAUUAGGAAACUUCCAGGUGCUGCAUGCGUUUUUCUCACGUGGCCUUUUAGGGAGUGACAAAUGAGACAAUGACUAGAUGCUGUUUGUCGCCAGCGAUCCACAAGAACCAACUGAGCACUUUCUACGUGAUGGGAACUGUGCUGUGAAAGCCAGUGCGGACACGCUAAGGAAGGUGCGUUCCCACAGGACACCUGCAGAUUAAGUCUGUGGGACACAGUGCUGUGUCACUAUGAGGGAAGCCCAGUGGGCUUUGGUGGCACAGAGGAGGGUGUGGACUAACAGGAAAUAUCCCAGAAAGGGAGCGGUCAAGUGAGGGGAGGAGGGGAGGGGAGGAGGGGAGGGUCCGCAUCCAGGUGGGGGCAGCAGACUGCUCCGCGGCCAAGCCCCAGGUGUUAAUUAUUAGUGCCACUAUUAGGCUCUCACUUGCUGUGGUUUGUAGGAUCCACGUUCCAGUCCUCUUUUUGUCACCUGCAGAUGUGUGGCUGGGGUUAAGUGACCCGAUCUUCCUCAGUCUUGUUCUCCACUUCAGAGGGACACUCAUACUCACCUUGGAGAAAUGACAGGGCAAGAGGUGAGUUGAGAGGUGCAGGGACCCAGCACUGACGUUCUCUGACACAGUUCUCUUUGUGGUCUCUUCAGAGAGUCUGGCAUGUGUCAUUUUUCUGGAUUCCAGGUCUUCUUGGACAACCGAUAGCUUCUAUCAACUAACAUUUGCACUGGGCUAUGAGAAGUGGGUGGGUAUUCCAGACAAUCCCUCAAGAACAGCUAAGCAGCAGGCCACACGGGGAAGUCCCCCGAGCCACUAGAGGAGGAGCACACUGUGCGUUCCAGGAGGAUCCUGUGAAGCAAACAUCAAUGUGCAGAGCCCUGCCCUGGAUUCCCAGGCUUUUAACUCAAAUCUGCACCAUACUUUCACCUCAGCUGACUUCUGGACUUUUGUUUAAAAUUCAUACUCUGUACUUGAAACAGAAAAAAGAUGUGAUUUUUUUUUUUGGCUUAAUACUUCUGAAGGUGGUUGGGGGUAGCUGGACUCCAUCUGACUCAAGUUUGAGUCUAGACUUCCCCUCCAACUCCCUUUAGGUUGCUGAGUAAAUUGUAGUAUGUUUGACACAAAAUCAGUAUCUGUCAUGCACUCUUAGGCAAAUGAUAAUUUUCUACUGAAAACUAUUUCCUUAGUGAAGGUAAAUCUUCAACCCCUGUUGACAGAUCCAAUUUUUGCAAAACGCCAGAAAAGUCUGUAACAUGUGGGGAAGCAUAAUUCAGCUUAGCAGAUAUUAUUGAGCAGUUACUACCUGUCAUUUGCUCCUUUGCUCUGAGAGUUGCCUGCUCCCUCCCUCCGCUUCCCUCAGUGUUUAACCCCAAGAGUCAUGUCCAGCCAACUGGAAGCCUAUCAGGAGACCCGAGAGUGGGAAGUACGGACAGCCACUGGUGGGGGCCGCUUAGGUCCCUGUGUCCCCUUUAGUUUGGGGUACUGAGUGUCUGCUGCUGCAGGUUCACACCUAUGGUCUUCUCUGUGGGACUGUGCUGGUGUCAUCUUGCCUGGAGGUGCCCCUUGGUGACACAGCCACCUGGGAACCUUUCCUAAUCACUGACUUGUCUGGGGUGUACAGACCCAUCUCUGUGACCUCAAGCCAGGACACACUGUAAUGCAAUUGCUACUCUGAGGCUCCCUGCAGGACCUGGUUGAUAUUAGAGGUUCCCUGAACCCCACCCUUGUUUGAAUCCCUGUCUUUGCCACUCCUGCUUCCCGGGACAUACUAAUUCCUCUUGUAACAGACUCGCACACAGCUCCCUGCUGUUGCUCUGCUUGGGGGACACCCAGCCUAGCAGCAGGGGAAGGCGAGGUACUUGUUCGCUUCUUGUUCUGCAUCAGGUGGAGUCUGAUGCAGUCGUAUGGCUCCUUUGCCAUUGGGGCUCUUGUCCUGGUAGCUCAAGCCGGGUCUAGCUCCCCUGGUUGUUCUAGUUACUCUGUUCUCCAUGGCUUCAGUUCCCUGAAAUAGGUCUAUCGCCCCUCCUCCGGGCAGCCUGUGUGUGCAGACAUUUGGCCAGACCCAUGAGCAGACCCUCCACAGAAUUUCUGGCUCCUCGGGUAGUGCCAGCCCCUAGCUUGGGAAGGGCAGCCCUGGGGGCGGCAGCUCUCUGUAGUCACUGAGCUCUGAGUUGCCUCACAUUCGGCCUCUGCUUUUCUGACACCUCUGCAAUGAAUUCCUUGUGUUCAAUGCCCCCUGCUGUGCUCUGCACUAUACAUUCUAUGGGCUCAGCUGGAUAUUGGCUGGAACACAGUGGAACCCCAGGCUUGAUCUGGGUGCAGAAGACACAAUGCGUUGCCCUCAGGCCGUUGGUAGGUGUUCAUCUGGCACUUACUGCUGGAGAAAACCCUGCUCUGAUAGGAGGUCCUAUGGCAAGAGCCCAGGGAAGCAGCAUACAGGCCAUCUUGGGUGGCGAGGUAGUGAGGUAAGGAGGGGAACAGUGCCCGGGGAAGUGGCUGGAGCCGAGUGGUGGAGGACAGAGCUGACUUAGGACGGCUCAUGUACAGAUUUUCCUGCUCCGAGCCAACUCUGCUCCUGAAUGGUAGUGGAAAGGUGCUGAUCCCCAUUAUCUCUCCCUCUGUACUCCCUGGUCUUGGCCAGUGAAUGGCCAAGGGAGCUUUCAGUCAUCCUGCACAGGGAGGUGGGGGACACUGACUCCUGGUACUCAACAGCAGCUGGAGACAUACGCAGUGACUUUAGACCAACUGAGCCGUCUUCCUUGCAUGCUGGGGCAUCCCAGCAGGCAUUGCUGCACUGGGAGGGAAAAGGGGCUGCUCCUGCUGAGUACUCUCUGGCCACUGCCUCUCUCCCUCUCCUGUCUCGGCUUUCUCACUGUUGAAGGAGCCUGUGGCUGCACUCUCCUGUGCUCAAGCAUCCUCUGUGGCUGGGCAGGGUCAGCAUCCCCUCGGAGCUUGUUAGAAAUGCAAAUUCCCAAAUGCUGGCUCAAACCUACUGAAUCAGAAAGUCAGGGCUGGUCCCCAGCUUUCCACAGCUGUGCCUCCAGGUGACUCUGAUGUGCAAGGAAGGUUUAGAAAAACUGGUCUGGAUGACCUCCAAUGCUUUCCUGUUCUAAGGGUCUCCCGUAGAGCCAUACUUGGCAAUGGAAAUAGAAAAGGUGGAGAGUCACUUCACAGCAAAGUGGGGUCUCACGGAAGGGCCUGGGUGGCAGGUCCCGGGGAGCUCCUGCUUUAUUUGGGCUUAAUGAUUGAUCCUGUCCUUUUUGAACCACCUAUGACACUCACCUUUCCUCCCUGUUCCUUCCUUCUUGCUUCAUGGACCUUUUCAAAGACUUGUCUUUUGGCUUGGUCACUGUGCACGUUUGGGUCUUUCAUCUUUUCUGGGGAUUUGCUUCUUCCCAGUCCACUCCCUGCGUUCCCUGUCAGGCUCUGAGCUUCCUGGAGCAUCAUCGCAGGGUCUUCCUCCACCUCUGCCCACCUUCUCCAUGAGAACUUUCCUGAUUGCAGAUCCAAUCAGCCUACGGGCGGCUAUGAUGCCUCCAGGGCUCCCUAACACCUGGAAGACAUUGGUCUGCUCAGCUGAAGCCGUAAAUCACCACGUCCUCUGUGAUCUGAUCCCAUUUCUGCUCUUGCCUCCUGUACUGCUUCCUGCUAAAGUCAUUGUACCCUGCCUUCACUGAUAGCUACUCUUUCAUGUUCUUUCUCCUCGUGUUCCUCUGUCCCUGUUUUGCCAUGAUUAGGAACAUGUUUCUCCAUCCUAUUUCCCCAGGCAAGAGACUGGCUAAUUAUUCAUUUUUUUCUGUUACACCUGGAAAUGAAGCUAGACCAUUUGGUGCAGGGAAUGUCCAUAGAAUAACAGAAUCUCUGAGUGGCCCUUUCUCUUCACCUUCACCCACCUGCUGACACAUGCAUACGUUCUGGAGGAAGAGUCUAAGACCAUGGGGCAUAGCAGAAACGAGAUAAAAGGCCUGAAUCUGUGAAUGACUGUGUGGAGCUGAGCCCUACCUCACACGCCUCUCCCUACCAUCUUCCUUGAACUGUGUUUGCAUUAAAAAUGCAUUUAACUUGCAAUUCACAUAGGAAACAAAUCAAAGCGGAAUUAAGAAGCUUGGUGUCUUGGUGAACUAGUCAUGCAGCAUAAAAACUACAAAACUUGGAGGCUUGUAAGCACAUUUAUUCCUGUGCGUUCAGGAUGAUCUUCAGUGGCAGAAUUGCUUCAGGCAGCAGUGUUGGCAGCAGGCUGCGUCUGGGUCUGCUCCACCUGUCUUCAUCAUGGGGUCCAGGUUGAGGAUGCAGUAGCCUUUCUGGGCACGAGUUUCUCAAGGCAAAUCACUGGUGCCCAGGAGCCAGCCUGCAUGCAAACACAAUUAAACAGCGCCUGUAUUGUGUGCUUUUGUUAAAUAUGCUCACCUUCUGUUGUCCAUGCAAGAGUCUAUGAAACAAGAACGUCCAAUCUGUUCCAAAGGGAGGGAGAGGAGAGGGGAUAUUUGCUGAAAAAUAAUUGAUAAAGAUAUGGAACUGCAUGUAAUUAUCAUUGUCCAACUCCUGGUCUUAGAGUCACCUUAAGAAUACCACUGGCUGCCCCCUCCCUGUAUCCUGAGGAAGCACUUCAGGGGAUUCACCUGCUACCCAGACUCUGCAUUUCUUUAGUUUCUCUGUAAUGCCCGACUUCCUCUAACCCCACUGUGACAUCAAUCAUGGAGGCCUUACUAAGCAUAGCAAGCAAGCUCUCAUACUCUGUAACAGACAAAGCCUACUGCGAUCUCUAUGUCACUGACUCCUAAAUCUUGCAGAAAUAAUUAAAACAUACACAUCACUCUCCCACACUAUAAAGCUUGUUUUUAAUACAAUGAAGGAAUUCAAGUUUAUAAAGGAAUUGUGCAUUGUAGGCUUUGUAUUUUAAUAGUAGCAAAUAACUCCUGUCACUUCUCCUAAUAGAACGUGCAUGUCAGAGUAUUUUCAUGCAUUGGCAGGUGUCCUUCAAAAAAAUCUCCUUCUAACUGAACCAAGUUUGUCUGUACAUACAGGGAAGGUUGAGAUUGAACCAGAGUUCUCUCGGGAGCUCAACUCUCUCAAGCUUUAUGUUUGUGGACUUCAAUCUCAAUACCCCCAAUCUCUGCAAGCUCCUGACCAUGCACAGAAGCCACUGAAGCCAAGGUGUCAAAGUGUCAUCCUAAUAUUCGCUUUUGCUCCCUCUAUAGUAAUGAAAAUCUUGGCAGGAUGCAUGGUUACCAGCUCAAGAUUAUGUCCCAGCUUCUCUUGGAGGUAGCUACCAGUGGGAGACAAGUUCUUCCCCAUCCACUGGCUUAGGGGGAUGGCACGGUGUGAGCUAGGGGAGCCAUCCAGGUCCCAGGGAUGAAAGCUGUGUUGAGAUGGCAGAGCGAGAAGAGAGAAAAGCCCAGUCCCUAGUCCAUGCGGCCACCAUCCCCACCCUCCCCUCUUAACGUUCACACUGCUUGUGAGAGAAAGACAAAUGUUUAAUUUAAACCAUUCUUCCAUUUAGUUUCUAUCACCACAGUCAGAACCUAUAUCUUAAAUAAUACCAACCCUUGUGCCUAUUAUUCACAGCCAGAUACCUUGUAUUCUCCUUGGGGAUGAGCACUGGCCCUUUGAUUCAAUGUUCUGUGGAAAAUAUUCUUUAAGUAUCAACCAGGUGCAAAGCAUCGAACACAGUGCCCAUGGGAGACACUGCCCCCUGAUGCUCCUGCCAUCAAGCCCCCUGAUGCUCCUGCCAAGCAGCACCCCACACACUUCCCCUCCUUACCUUGGUGUGCACUCUUCCUUGCCUGGUGCCCCACUCCCCCUAGCCUGAGGAACUGUUAGUCAUCCUUCAUGGCCCUGCACCAGGAAGAUGUCCUCGAGUCUCGGGUGGAGUCAGCUCUUCACCAUUAGAGUUUCUAUAGUACUUUUUAAAUACAGCUUUGUUGUAGAAUUUACAACAAUUGACAAGGGACAGGACUGUAUCCCCAUUUGACAUUCAACAAAUAUUGAUUGAGCUCUUGGCAGGUGCUGGGCCUUGCACUAAACAUUGGCAAUGGCACAGUUUCUGUGCUCAGGGUUUUGUGGUUGAGUGACACUUACAUAAGCACAUGCAGAGUAGACCUGUGACAGUCACAGGUGCUGAGAUGAGCAGGCCAUGUCUUAUGAGAACUCAUGCCAGAGGAUUAGAUUAGCCAGAGACUGAAGUGCAGGAAAGGUCCCCCCUAAAUGUGAUGCUCCAGCUGACUUUGAAGGCUCUCCUUCACCAGGAGGCCAUGCCAAGUACCUAGAAGAGCACUCGGCUUGUAGUGGAUGCUCAACAGAUAUUGGCUUAUUGAUGUUUUAGAUGAUAAUUGUGUUUAUCACAAUUUUAGCUCUUAGUGCAUUUCAUCUCACAAUAAUAAAAUGUUUUCUAUGAUUAUCAUUCUCAUUUUAUACAUGAGAAAUCUGAAACAAAGAGUGCCAAGGCCAUAUAUCCAGGAAGUGGUAGGGUUGGAAUCUGAACCCAAACCUUCUGGCUCCUGAGUGACAGCUCUCAGUGCACUAUGAGAUAAGAGCAUCUCUGUGCACUGGCUUUCAGCUGCUGCAGAAUGCUCACAUUAUUUCAGAAUCUACCUGUAAGAGGUAAGCACUCAUCACCCCCUACUUUUUUCUAAAUGGAUGAUGGAAUUGGGAGUGAGGCAUGGAAGUACUGCCACCCCAAAUCACACAGGGCAUAAGUGAGAGUCAGGAGCAGAAUCAACUGUGGUUCACAGACUGGACCUAGUUACUUUCCACAGCCCCAGAAUACCAGCUGGUGAUGGCGAUGGUGACACCCAGGGUCAGGAGAUGACAUGACGGCAGGGAGGUAAAGGUGUGUGUGUGUGUGUGUGUGUGUGGUGGAACUUCCUCCCUCUCCAUCUCCUCUGUGUCCUUUUGCAUGUGUCAAAUGUCAUUUGUGGUACUGAUUGGAAGCUGGAUCCAUUUUUCUAAGCAAAACUGAAGCUGCUCAGAGAAUGAAACUUACAGAAAUUCCCCAUACUGAGUAGAAUAUUUUUUAAAAAAAAUAUUAUAAGCUGCAUCUGCAGUUUUAUAUUCAGAGCCCCCCUCUCAAAAAAUAAAUAAAUGGAAAUAAUAUUGAGCCAUUGUUAAAUGCUCUGAAAGGUGUGUGAGAAAUGAUGAAGGGGGGCGGCACUGCUGGCCUUGGUGCUGACUCAGCUCUGAGCUGCAAGAUGAAGGUAACAAGACCUUAGCUGUCUCUGUGGAUUCCACACCAAUCAUGUUAAUUGGAAGCUGGAAAGAGGAAAUGGUCACAAUCAACAGAUUUAUCACCCAAAGGGCUGCGCAGUUCAUAAAUUUAAUCCAGCAAAGGAAUUGGGAAAUAGAAUUGAUGCUUAUAAGAAUCAGGGGUGGCUGGCAGGGGAAGUAGUUGUCUCUCCAAACAGACUUUUGCAGAUGGCUGGGAGUGCUUGAACAUAUUUUAUUUGAAGAUAUUAGAAAUACAAAAAGACAGCUUCUUCCCAGCUCCUGGCUGAAGUAAUGUAGUUUCUUCUUCUUCUUCUUCUUUUUUAAAAGUCUUUUCUUUAAAAAAAAUAGAGCGAUAAAGAAACACAAACAGGGCAGUUAAGUUUAAUGGUGGCAAAACCCAGACACCUGAAUAUGUGUAAUUUAUUUUNGUGUGUGGUGGAACUUCCUCCCUCUCCAUCUCCUCUGUGUCCUUUUGCAUGUGUCAAAUGUGUUGCAGUCAUUUGUGGUACUGAUUGGAAGCUGGAUCCAUUUUUCUAAGCAAAACUGAAGCUGCUCAGAGAAUGAAACUUACAGAAAUUCCCCAUACUGAGUAGAAUAUUUUUUAAAAAAAAUAUUAUAAGCUGCAUCUGCAGUUUUAUAUUCAGAGCCCCCCUCUCAAAAAAUAAAUAAAUGGAAAUAAUAUUGAGCCAUUGUUAAAUGCUCUGAAAGGUGUGUGAGAAAUGAUGAAGGGGGGCGGCACUGCUGGCCUUGGUGCUGACUCAGCUCUGAGCUGCAAGAUGAAGGUAACAAGACCUUAGCUGUCUCUGUGGAUUCCACACCAAUCAUGUUAAUUGGAAGCUGGAAAGAGGAAAUGGUCACAAUCAACAGAUUUAUCACCCAAAGGGCUGCGCAGUUCAUAAAUUUAAUCCAGCAAAGGAAUUGGGAAAUAGAAUUGAUGCUUAUAAGAAUCAGGGGUGGCUGGCAGGGGAAGUAGUUGUCUCUCCAAACAGACUUUUGCAGAUGGCUGGGAGUGCUUGAACAUAUUUUAUUUGAAGAUACUAGAAAUACAAAAAGACAGCUUCUUCCCAGCUCCUGGCUGAAGUAAUGUAGUUUCUUCUUCUUCUUCUUCUUUUUUAAAAGUCUUUUCUUUAAAAAAAUAGAGCGAUAAAGAAACACAAACAGGGCAGUUAAGUUUAAUGGUGGCAAAACCCAGACACCUGAAUAUGUGUAAUUUAUUUUUAUAGAAAUCUCACCCUAUGGAGGCCACUAUUAAUUAGCAAGGGCUUGUAUUGCAUGGCCAAUGCUGAAGAGGAUUGUUAUCUUGGCUACUUUUGGAAAAGGAAAAACAAAACAACCAGAAAAAUCUUUGAUGCUUCAUUACAAAAGGACAUGGAAGAAAGUCAUGAAAAACAGCUCAGGGGCUUCAUGUGCAUAAAGACCGAGGAAUCCCAACUCUCCCCAGUUCAGUUAUCCCUGAACCUCCUCCACCAUGGAGAAGAAAAACCCGACAGGUAAGGAAUGGGGAUGGCCAGAACAGGGCUGCAUGCUGUCCCCAUACCUGACACCCCUGCCCAUCUUAUAUUUAAGAUGAGGAAACUGAGGCUCAGAUAUGCCCAGAGCCCAGGUGAGAGAGCUCAUUGAUUGAAAGCCAUGGAACCAGUUCUGAGCCCAUGUUUGAGCAGUGAUUGGUUGUUUCCCAAUACACAGUCCUAAUGCCAGCAACCACCGUGUCCCAUUUGCUUCCAAGCUGCGAAACAGACCACUUAUCCCGUUACUGGGACAUCAAAGAGGCAGAACCUGAAAAUGGGAGAUUCCUGCAACUCGUCUGAGGCCUGCCUGUGGAGCAAGGCGAGCUCUGCACUCAUUGCUCAUCACCAAAGGACAGGUGGAGAUGCCUGAGCCAAGAAACCGGUAACAACUGCAUUUCUACAUAAGCGCUGCUCAAUAAACAUUUAGCAGGAAGUGUGGCCAGUGCCACUGAUGCCUACAGCUGAUCUGAUCAAACACGUUGUGCAUCCUUUUGGCAAAGAUUUCCUUUACUAAGUUGCUAGACUUUGUUCUCCAUAGAAGGGGAGAAGCAUGCUUGGCUUUUCAAGUAGCUAUAGCAUAAAAGACUGAGCUUUGUCACAGUGAAGAGAGGUUCAGGCCCGUGUUCAUUGCUAGCUUGCUGGGCACCAUCCAGUAGGGUGCUGUACCUCUUCACCCUUAGGUUCUUCAUAUACAAAAUAAGAAGAAUUACAACUUGUCAUUUUUCUGAGGUUCAAAUGAGAGAACACAUGCAAAAGUGUAUGGAACUCUGCCAAAUCAUAGUAAAUGCUCAAUAAAUGUCAGCUUGUCCACCAGGUGCCAUCUUGGUUUUUGGAAGACAGUAACAAAAAAGUUACUAAAG